CCAAAGGCUCUUUUCAGAGCCACCCCAGACCUCAGGAAAAGAGCUGU
rfam:Ailuropoda melanoleuca scaffold2498_14, whole genome shotgun sequence.